GACGAACGCUGCGGCGUGCUUAACACAUGCAAGUCGAACGAAGAGCGAUGGAAGCUUGCUUCUAUCAAUCUUAGUGGCGAACGGGUGAGUAACGCGUAAUCAACCUGCCCUUCAGAGGGGGACAACAGUUGGAAACGACUGCUAAUACCGCAUACGAUCUAAUCUCGGCAUCGAGGAUAGAUGAAAGGUGGCCUCUACAUGUAAGCUAUCACUGAAGGAGGGGAUUGCGUCUGAUUAGCUAGUUGGAGGGGUAACGGCCCACCAAGGCGAUGAUCAGUAGCCGGUCUGAGAGGAUGAACGGCCACAUUGGGACUGAGACACGGCCCAGACUCCUACGGGAGGCAGCAGUGGGGAAUCUUCCGCAAUGGACGAAAGUCUGACGGAGCAACGCCGCGUGAGUGAUGACGGCCUUCGGGUUGUAAAGCUCUGUUAAUCGGGACGAAAGGCCUUCUUGCAAAUAGUGAGAAGGAUUGACGGUACCGGAAUAGAAAGCC
rnacentral:rRNA from 1 species